UGACCGCUGGCGGCGUGCUUACCACAUGCAAGUCGAACGGAAAGGCCCAAGCUUGCUUGGGUACUCGAGUGGCGAACGGGUGAGUAACACGUGGGUGAUCUGCCCCGCACUUCGGGAUAAGCCUGGGAAACUGGGUCUAAUACCGGAUAGGACCACUUCUUUGAGGUUGUGGUGGAAAGUUUUUUCGGUGUGGGAUGAGCUCGCGGCCUAUCAGCUUGUUGGUGGGGUAAUGGCCUACCAAGGCGUCGACGGGUAGCCGGCCUGAGAGGGUGUACGGCCACAUUGGGACUGAGAUACGGCCCAGACUCCUACGGGAGGCAGCAGUGGGGAAUAUUGCACAAUGGGCGCAAGCCUGAUGCAGCGACGCCGCGUGGGGGAUGACGGCCUUCGGGUUGUAAACUCCUUUCGCUAGGGACGAAGCGCAAGUGACGGUACCUAGAGAAGAAGCACCGGCUAACUACGUG
rnacentral:rRNA from 1 species